rnacentral:rRNA from 1 species
UGGUGGAGUGAUUUGUCUGGUUAAUUCCGUUAACGAACGAGACCUCGACCUGCUAAAUAGUGUGGCGAAUUCUUCGGGAUUCGUACACGCUUCUUAGAGGGACUAUCGGUGUGUAACCGAUGGAAGUUCGAGGCAAUAACA